CAGAUGCGUCCAUGGCGAGGAGCAGAGGGGGGAAAGGACCGCACGAUCACGGGCUAGCUACUCGACAUGGAGAAGACUCGAGAAGAAGAGGAAGCAGACGAGGUCGAAUGCCCAAAUGCACAAAGCAUGCAUUUGGCACGCUUUGCCCGUUGUCACCGCGUGCACUACCAGCUCCCGCACUUUCCUACGUGUCCAAUCAUGUCCAUAAGCUCUCUCACUGCUCAAAUGGAUGAGAUCUGGGUCUGGAAUAAGC
rnacentral:lncRNA from 1 species